UAAAUAGUCCGUAUUACCCCGGUAGUACGCCGACUUCUUAGAGGGACUAUCGGCUCAAGCCGAUGGAAGUUUGAGGCAAUAACAGGUCUGUGAUGCCCUUAGAUGUUCUGG
rnacentral:rRNA from 1 species